CUACGGGUCGCUGCAGUGAGGAAUAUUGCACAAUGGGGGGAACCCUGAUGCAGCAACGCCGCGUGGAGGAUGACGCAUUUCGGUGUGUAAACUCCUUUUAUAUGUCAAGGAAAUGACGGUAGCAUAUGAAUAAGCACCGGCUAACUCUGUGCCAGCAGCCGCGGUAAUACGGAGGGUGCAAGCGUUACUCGGAAUCACUGGGCGUAAAGGACGCGUAGGCGGGUUGGAAAGUCAGGUGUGAAAUCCUACAGCUUAACUGUAGAACUGCACUUGAAACUUCUAAUCUAGAGUAUGGGAGGGGGAGAUGGAAUUAGUGGUGUAGGGGUAAAAUCCGUAGAUAUCACUAGGAAUACCUAAAGCGAAGGCGAUCUCCUGGAACAUUACUGACGCUAAGGCGUGAAAGCGUGGGGAGCAAACAGGAUUAGAUACCCCGGUAGUC
rnacentral:rRNA from 1 species